CCCAGUUUGGUAGGGUCUGUAAGCUUAGACUGUUAAUUAGUCUUGCUUUAUUUCGAUGUUUGCUAGCGUUAGACAUUUAAUUAGUCGGCCCGAGGGAGCCCGCUGGCCCGUGGUUAUUCUUAAGAUUACUCUUGUUUAAUUAACUCACGCUGAGCGUCGGAUAGAACCCAAAUACAUCAAACUAUCAGAAACGAAGGAGUGUAUUUCCAAUAUUGCCCCGAAAAUUCCCAAUUUCAGAAACGAAGGGGAAGAAAAAUCUGCUCAACCCUUCGCCAGAAAACAUAAACGAAAAAGGGAAAGGGCCGCCGUCUCCUACAGAUUGCUGGGCUGCGAAUCCAUGCCUCUCGCCGUCUUCAAGAAUUGAUUUUUGUGAACUUCGAUUAUCUUCGACAGUCGUUGCUUCACAAAUCGAGUCCCUCCAUACGCCCUCAACCUCAAGAUAAGAAGGUUUGCUGCGUCGGACUCAUUGUGCUCCUUUCCGCCCACGGAUCGCGCUUAUUUUGGAUCGAAUCCAGCCCUUCGCACAUCACUCACUGCAACUGGUUCCUGCUCGAUUUUUCUGGAUAAGGCACUAACUUAAGUAAUCUGAAAUUGAUUUCUAGCUUGUAUGCAACGGUUCUAAGUGUAAUGAGUGGGACUUGAAAGAGAUGAUACUAAAAUCAGUUAGGAAGCUGGGGUUAAAAACUAGUGAAGUGCUUGUCAGCUUGUGCAGAAAAACAUAGUCUUUCCUGUUAAUUAAGUUUUCUUUUCCUUAGCCAUUCUGAACUUCUCACUUCUACUGCCUUAUUUUGGGCAUAGAGGGAGUAGAGAGAAUAAGGUGGAGACUAUAAGAAUGGUUGUAAGUUUACUUUGAGCCCAAUUCAAGAAGUAAAGGCUAAAACCUAAAGCAUGAUAAGCAAUUAGAUAAUUGUUGUGGGUUAAAAAGCGCGCCUAGGUUCGGGCUUUAGUCAAAGCGCAGGGUCUGGGGCUUUCGUAUUGCUAGGCGCAUGCACCUACAAGAGGCGCUAUUUCACUUUUCA